rnacentral:rRNA from 1 species
AUGGACCAUUCCAUCCCUUUUUCCCGUGCAUAUGCAUCGGACUCGGAUGACGAUGGUCCCGAUGAACAAGUUGAUGCGGAGGGGUUCACGGUGAAGGAGGCCGAAGCUUUCGAGAAGGUAUUUGGUCGGGAUCAUCGGACUACAUUGUUCAAGGAUGUUAGUCUCGCGGAUGAAGCCGUGGUAGAUGGUGGCCAAUGUGUACCUCUUGGGGUUAGGCCAAGCUCUCACCGUGAUUUGGUAGACGACAAGAACCGGAUUGCUAAAGGUUCUAAGUUCGACACCUUGUUGGAAUUGAAGAUGUGGCUCGACAACUACUCGGUUACGCAUUAUCGUCCACACAAGGUGGUGAACUCGGACGUCAAUGUGCGCUACACGGUUGCAUGUGCAUGUGAAGAUGAAAUAUGUCCGUGGAUUGUGCGUGCAAGACCAUGGAAAGGAGGUCCAACUUGGCAUUAG